GGGCUGUAGCUCAGUUGGUAGAGCACCAGGUUCGCAAUCUGGCUGUCAUGGGUUCGACUCCCACCAGCUCC
rnacentral:tRNA from 1 species